rnacentral:rRNA from 1 species
AUUGAACGCUGGCGGCAGGCUUAACACAUGCAAGUCGAGCGGGGUGAUGGUGCUUGCACUAUCACUUAGCGGCGGACGGGUGAGUAAUGCUUAGGAAUCUGCCUAUUAGUGGGGGACAACAUCUCGAAAGGGAUGCUAAUACCGCAUACGUCCUACGGGAGAAAGCAGGGGAUCACUUGUGACCUUGCGCUAAUAGAUGAGCCUAAGUCGGAUUAACUAGUUGGUGGGGUAAAAGCCUACCAAGGCGACGAUCUGUAGCGGGUCUGAGAGGAUGAUCCGCCACACUGGGACUGGAAAACGGCCCAGACUCCUACGGGAGGCAGCAGUGGGGAAUAUUGGACAAUGGGGGGAACCCUGAUCCAGCCAUGCCGCGUGUGUGAAGAAGGCCUUAUGGUUGUAAAGCACUUUAAGCGAGGAGGAGGCUCUUUUGGUUAAUACCCAAGAUGAGUGGACGUUACUCGCAGAAUAAGCACCGGCUAACUCUGUGCCAGCAGCCGCCGUAA